AUUUAAAUAGUUUAUUUUAAAAUUUUGAUUUGUGGUAUCAAAGAUAUAACUUUCAUGUUAUUUUAAAUC
rnacentral:tRNA from 1 species